GGCGGCAUGCUUUACACAUGCAAGUCGAACGGUAACAGGCCUUCGGGCGCUGACGAGUGGCGAACGGGUGAGUAAUGCAUCGGAACGUGCCCAAUCGUGGGGGAUAACGUAGCGAAAGUUACGCUAAUACCGCAUACGCCCUGUAGGGGGAAAGUGGGGGACCGCAAGGCCUCACGCGAAUGGAGCGGCCGAUGUCAGAUUAGCUAGUUGGUGGGGUAAAGGCUCACCAAGGCGACGAUCUGUAGCGGGUCUGAGAGGAUGAUCCGCCACACUGGGACUGAGACACGGCCCAGACUCCUACGGGAGGCAGCAGUGGGGAAUUUUGGACAAUGGGCGCAAGCCUGAUCCAGCCAUGCCGCGUGCGGGACGAAGGCCUUCGGGUUGUAAACCGCUUUCAGCCGGAAAGAAAUCGCCGUUUUUAAUACAGACGGUGGAUGACGGUACCGGAAGAAGAAGCACCGACUAACUACGUGCCAGCAGCCGCGGUAAUACGUAGGGUGCGAGCGUUAAUCGGAAUUACUGGGCGUAAAGCGUGCGCAGGCGGUUUUGUAAGCCAGACGUGAAAUCCCCGGGCUUAACCUGGGAACUGCGUUUGGAACUGCAAGACUAGAGUGUGUCAGAGGGAGGUGGAAUUCCACGUGUAGCAGUGAAAUGCGUAGAUAUGUGGAGGAACAUCGAUGGCGAAGGCAGCCUCCUGGGAUAACACUGACGCUCAUGCACGAAAGCGUGGGGAGCAAACAGGAUUAGAUACCCUGGUAGUCCACGCCCUAAACGAUGUCAACUGGUUGUUGGGAGAGAAAUCUUUCAGUAACGAAGCUAACGCGUGAAGUUGACCGCCUGGGGAGUACGGCCGCAAGGUUGAAACUCAAAGGAAUUGACGGGGGCCCGCACAAGCGGUGGAUGAUGUGGAUUAAUUCGAUGCAACGCGAAGAACCUUACCUGCUCUUGACAUGCCAGGAACCUUGGAGAGAUCUGAGGGUGCCCGAAAGGGAAUCUGGACACAGGUGCUGCAUGGCUGUCGCCAGCUCGUGUCGUGAGAUGUUGGGUUAAGUCCCGCAACGAGCGCAACCCUUAUCAUUAGUUGCUACGCAAGGGCACUCUAAUGAGACUGCCGGUGACAAACCGGAGGAAGGUGGGGAUGACGUCAAGUCCUCAUGGCCCUUAUGAGCAGGGCUUCACACGUCAUACAAUGGUCGGUACAGAGGGUUGCCAACCCGCGAGGGGGAGCCAAUCCCACAAAGCCGAUCGUAGUCCGGAUCGUAGUCUGCAACUCGACUACGUGAAGUCGGAAUCGCUAGUAAUCGCGGAUCAGCAUGUCGCGGUGAAUACGUUCCCGGGCCUUGUACACACCGCCCGUCACACCAUGGGAGUAGGUUGCUCCAGAAGUAGGUAGCCUAACCGCAAGGAGGCGCUACCACGGA
rnacentral:rRNA from 1 species